rnacentral:rRNA from 1 species
CACGUAGGGCGCGAGCGUUGUCCGGAAUUAUUGGGCGUAAAGAGCUCGUAGGCGGCCUGUUGCGUCCGCUGUGAAAGCCCGGGGCUUAACCCCGGGUCGGCAGUGGAUACGGGCAGGCUAGAGGUAGGUAGGGGAGAAUGGAAUUCCCGGUGUAGCGGUGAAAUGCGUAGAUAUCGUUUGGAACGCCAAUGGUGAAAACAACGUUGCUGGGGGUGUGCUGACGCUGAGACACGAAAGCCAGGGGAGCAAACGGG